AUUGAACGCUGGCGGCAGGCCUAACACAUGCAAGUCGAACGAGUGGCGGACGGGUGAGUAAUGUAUGGGGAACUGCCCGAUGGAGGGGGAUAACUACUGGAAACGGUGGCUAAUACCGCAUACUAUCGGAUGAACCCAGAUGGGAGUAGCUAGUAGGUGGGGUAAAGGCUCACCUAGGCGACGAUCCCUAGCUGGUCUGAGAGGAUGACCAGCCACACUGGGACUGAGAAACGGCCCAGACUCCUACGGGAGGCAGCAGUGGGGAAUAUUGCACAAUGGGCGCAAGCCUGAUGCAGCCAUGCCGCGUGUAUGAAGAAGGCCUUAGGGUUGUAAAGUACUUUCAGCGGGGAGGCGUUACCCGCAGAAGAAGCACCGGCUAACUCCGUGCCAGCAGCCGCGGUAAUUC
rnacentral:rRNA from 1 species